rnacentral:lncRNA from 1 species
AAAAGGAUGUCCAAUUCUUCAUUCUGUGGUUAUUGGCAUGUCCUGUGGUCCUCGGUCUGGAAGCACAGUCGAGCCACAGGCACAAACUGCUCUAUUUAAUACACUCAGGUCCCUGAACAAGCUGAUAACUGACCCUCCUGUCUGUGCCAACGUUGACCUUCCUGUAGCUCACGAGAGUUCAGUGUGAGCCUUCAAUCUGAGAUUAAACACGUGCAUGUUUAGAAAUUGUGUGCGUGUGUGUGCGCAUCGUUUGUGAGUCGACACAGAUUGCGUCAGAGCUUUUGGGGGGUACUCGGGGUUAAUUAGUUGUAUGGUGCACUUUGCAGGCUUCUCCAGAUCGGUUUAGCACAGUACUGUCGGCCAGCCUGACCUGCACCCAGGGGAGAACAGUGUCUCUGGAGCUGCUCGGUCCUGGAUUUUUCCUCAGCUGGAAAUUUCACCGUUGCUGGAAACCCCACAGGUCGCCUCUCCAACGACUGAACUUCCACCAGAAGCAGGAGGGGGCGAGGAGCCGGGCCCCGCCGGCCGGACCGAACAGGGACUGCGGCCCCCUGGACCGGACCGGAUCGGUUCCAUCAGAGAUGUCAUUCUCCAGGAUUUUAUUGGAAUAAACGGG